rnacentral:rRNA from 1 species
GACGAACGCUGGCGGCGUGCUUAACACAUGCAAGUCGAACGGAAAGGCCCUGCUUUUGUGGGGUGCUCGAGUGGCGAACGGGUGAGUAACACGUGAGUAACCUGCCCUUGACUUUGGGAUAACUUCAGGAAACUGGGGCUAAUACCGGAUAGGAGCUCCUGCUGCAUGGUGGGGGUUGGAAAGUUUCGGCGGUUGGGGAUGGACUGGGGGCUUAUCAGCUUGUUGGUGGGGUAGUGGCUUACCAAGGCUUUGACGGGUAGCCGGCCUGAGAGGGUGACCGGCCACAUUGGGACUGAGAUACGGCCCAGACUCCUACGGGAGGCAGCAGUGGGGAAUAUUGCACAAUGGGCGGAAGCCUGAUGCAGCAACGCCGCGUGCGGGAUGACGGCCUUCGGGUUGUAAACCGCUUUCGCCUGUGACGAAGCGUGAGUGACGGUAAUGGGUAAAGAAGCACCGGCUAACUACGUG